UCCAGACUCCUACGGGAGGCAGCAGUGAGGAAUAUUGGUCAAUGGGCGGAAGCCUGAACCAGCCAAGUCGCGUGAGGGAAGAAGGCCCUGCGGGUCGCAGACCUCUUUGGACGGGGAGCAAGGCCGCCGACGUGUCGGCGGAAGGAGAGUACCCGUAGAACAAGCAUCGGCUAACUCCGUGCCAGCAGCCGCGGUAAUACGGAGGAUGCGAGCGUUAUCCGGAUUUACUGGGUGUAAAGGGAGCGUAGACGGCAGUGCAAGACCGGAGUGAAAGCCCGGGGCGCAGCCCUGGGACUGCUCUGGAAACUGUAAAGCUGGAGUGCGGGAGGGGCAGGCGGAAUUCCUGGUGUAGCGGUGAAAUGCGUAGAUAUCAGGAGGAACACCGGCGGCGAGGGCGGCCUGCUGGACCGUAACUGACGUUGAGGCUCGAAAGCGUGGGGAGCAAACAGGAUUAGAUACCCGUGUAUAC
rnacentral:rRNA from 1 species